GGUCCAAUGGCGGAGUGGUCCGCACCUGCAUGACGUUGAUGGGAGAUUUGUGCAUUCACGCAGGGCAGACCCGUUCGAUUCGGGCUUGGACCA